rnacentral:rRNA from 1 species
GCCUAGGUAAUCCAUCUGGAGCUAAGCAGGUUGGGGCCUGUCCAGUACUUGGAUGGGAAACCAACUAGGGAAGCUGGGUUUCUGAGGCA